rnacentral:rRNA from 1 species
AGGGAAUUUUCCACAAUGGACGAAACUCUGAUGCAGCAACGCCGCGUGAGGGAAGAAGGUCUUCGGAUUGUAAACCUUUGUCCUUGGUGACGAAACAAAUGACGGUAGCCAAGGAGGAAGCUCCGGCUAACUACGUGCCAGCAGCCGCGGUAAUACGUAGGGAGCAAGCGUUGUCCGGAUUUACUGGGUGUAAAGGGUGCGUAGGCGGCUCUGCAAGUCAGGCGUGAAAACUAUGGGCUUAACCCAUAGACUGCGUUUGAAACUGUGGGGCUUGAGUGAAGUAGAGGUAGGCGGAAUUCCCGGUGUAGCGGUGAAAUGCGUAGAGAUCGGGAGGAACACCAGUGGCGAAGGCGGCCUACUGGGCUUUAACUGACGCUGAAGCACGAAAGCAUGGGUAGCAAAC